rnacentral:tRNA from 1 species
UGAACUGUGACACGAGGAUUUUCAGUCCUCUGCUCUACCAGCUGAG